AAUGAGCUCAGUGGGCGGGGCCCUACCGAGCCAAUCAGGUUCUCACUGUGACUAAUUUGGGUUUGAACUUGAGCCAGAACUUCACCAUCAGUUGGAUGUAGACGUUUUGGGAACAUCAGCUUGUCCGAGUCAGGAAUGUUUGGGAAUUCUGUUGAGGGAUGGGACAUCACUCCGGCCCGCUCCACAGCUUGACCAUGAACCCACGCCUGCCAUGUCCGUGUUCGGCAUCGUCCAAUGAGAGCUUUUGGAGUGGUCACAUGAUCUUACCUAAUGCAGAUGAAGUGAGGGCCUGAUCUCCUCGUGUGUGUGUGUGUGUGUGUGUGUGUGUGGGCACUGAUGUGUGUGAGUGUGUGUGUGUGUGUGAGGGCCCGAUCUCCUCGUGUGUGUGUGUGUGAGGGCCCGAUAUCCUCCUGUUCGCUCAAGUGUGUGUGUGUUUGAGGGCCAAAUCUCCUCCUGUUCGCUCAAGUCAAACUCUCCUGCUUUGCUUUGUACAAGGAAGUGUGUGUGUGUGUGUGUGUGUGUGUGUGUGUGUGUGUGUGUGUGUGUGUGUGUGUGUGUGUGUGUGUGUGUGUGUUCGUUCACAUGUGUAGAACUCCCUGAGGACAAAACAAAAACCCAAUUUUCCUUUUUCUGCGAUCGCCCAAUCCGAUCAGUCGUACCUGAGUGUGUGUGUGUGUGUGUCCAUCGUUAACGAGCAAAAUUUGCACUAAUUAAGACGCUUGAUGGUAGUAACGAUCAGAUCAGCAAACCUGACAAGCCUAUGCCAGAUAUGAGAUGCUAAUAGCCAAUCAGGAGUCUCUGUUCAACAGACAUGAGAUGCUAAUAGCCAAUCAGCAGUCUCUGUUCAACAGACACGAGAUGCUAAUAGCCAAUCAGGAGUCUCUGUUCAACAGACAUGAGAUGCUAAUAGCCAAUCAGGAGUCUCUGUUCAACAGACAUGAUAUGCUAAUAGCCAAUCAGGAGUCUCAGUUCAGCAGACAUGAGAUGCUAAUAGCCAAUCAGCAGUCUCAGUUCAGCAGACAUGAGAUGCUAAUAGCCAAUCAGGAGUCUCAGUUCAACAGACAUGAGAUGCUAAUACCCAGAAUGCACUGGAGAAGAAGACUCCCAUAUGUACUCCAUUAGAUCUUCUCUUCAUGUGAGACUGUGCCGAGUCAACCGAUAUUAGACUGCUGGACUGGUAGGGUAGUUUAUAUUAUGCUCUGUUUGGACUUCAGGGGCCACCGUACACAUACAGCAGGUUUCAUAGAUGUGAUCUGACCCCUGAUUGGUUAAAGGUGAUCACUUCUCUGACCCAUGUCAUUGGUUCAUAUUUUGGGUGACCUGGCAGUGUUUUUUUGGGCAUUGUGCCUUAUAGGAAGUGGAGCGCUGGGAUUUGUAGUUUUUAAGGCUUUUAAUGUGGCGUGUUUGAGAGACGCAGGCCUGUUUGUUUUGGCCCUGAACGUCCUGCCUGUGUGACCUCUGGCUCACAACUCACAUUCAACACUUCAUUCAACUGGUGUUUGUGUGUGUGUGUGUGUGUGUGUGUGUGUGUGUGUGUACACAUGAUAUGUAUCAACUCACAUUCAACACUUCAUUCAACUGGUGUGACUGUAUCGUGUCCACUUGUUUUGUGUUGAUUUCUGUGAAUGAAUUAGUAGUGUAAUCACAGAAUCACAUCUGACUGUGUGUGUGUGUGUGUGUGUGUGUGUGUGUGUGCGCAUGCGCGCGCUAUGAUGUGUGCGUGCGAUGAUGUGUGCAUGCGUGCGUGCUUGAGUGUGUGUGUGUGUGUGUGUGUGUGUGUGUGUGUGUGUGUGUGUGUGUGUGUGAUGUCACGCACUCAGAAAAAAGAGAUGAUUGUUAUUUGCUUUAUUCCCUCCCUCUCUCAGUGAAGGGCUGAUUUUAUGAAUGUUCUGUUUUAAUAAAGACUCAUGUGCAGAC
ensembl:lncRNA